rnacentral:rRNA from 1 species
GUUAGGAAUCUUGCGCAAUGGACGAAAGUCUGACGCAGCGACGCCGCGUGCGGGAUGAAGGCCCUCGGGUUGUAAACCGCUUUCAGCAGGGACGAAAUUGACGGUACCUGCAGAAGAAGCCCCGGCCAACUACGUGCCAGCAGCCGCGGUAAUACGUAGGGGGCAAGCGUUGUCCGGAUUUAUUGGGCGUAAAGAGCUCGUAGGUGGUUCGGUAAGUCGGAUGUGAAAUCUCCAGGCUCAACCUGGAGGGGUCAUUCGAUACUGCCGUGACUAGAGGUCGGUAGGGGAGUGUGGAAUUCCUGGUGGAGCGGUGAAAUGCGCAGAUAUCAGGAGGAACACCCGUAGCGAAGGCGGCACUCUGGGCCGAUACUGACACUGAGGAGCGAAAGCGUGGGGAGCGAACAGGAUUAGAUACCCUAGUAGUCC